rnacentral:tRNA from 1 species
AUUUUCUUAGUAUAAACAGUAUAGCUGACUUCCAAUCAGCAGGCUCUGGUAAAAACUAGAAGGAAAUA